UGCAAAGUAGGAGGAGGGGCUUGU
rnacentral:piRNA from 1 species